rnacentral:rRNA from 1 species
AUUGAACGCUGGCGGCAUGCUUUACACAUGCAAGUCGAACGGUAACAGGGCGCUUGCUCCGCUGACGAGUGGCGCACGGGAGAGUAAUAUCGCGGAACGCACCCAAGAGGGGGGGAUAACGUAGAGAAAGGUACGCUAAUACCGUAUACGCUCUAGGGGAGAAAGCAGGGGACCUCAGCACCUUGUGCUCCCGCACCGGCCGAUAUCUGAUUAGCUAGUUGGUGAGGUAAAGGCUCACCAAGCCGACGAUCAGUAGCUGGUCUGAGAGGACGACCAGCCACACUGGAACUGAGACACGGUCCAGACUCCUACGGGAGGCAGCAGUGGGGAAUUUUGGACAAUGGGCGCAAGCCUGAUCCAGCAAUGCCGCGUGAGUGAAGAAGGCCUUCGGGUUGUAAAGCUCUUUUGUCAGGGAAGAAACGGGAUUGGCUAAUAUCCAGUCCUAAUGACGGUACCUGAAGAAUAAGCACCGGCUAACUACGUG